UCAGCAAGCCGUUUUAUGUAAA
rnacentral:siRNA from 1 species